GUCGCGGAAGGAUUGGCUGCGGCACUUGGUCUGUUCCAGAAACCCUAGGGUUUUUGGAAGCUGUUUAGGGCUAUCAGGGUUUGGGCUUAUUGGGCCUGGUGUAAUUGGGUUUAGUGGGUAUUUGGGCCUAUUGUAAUUUGGACAUGUUAAUUGGACUUUUAAUUUUGGUUUUAUAUUUUUUGUUUAUUUAUUUUUGAUUUGGGCCGGGCAAAUUUGGGCCAUUACAGCAAACAUCCACUUUUUUGAGUCUUCACAACUAUCCGCCUCAGAAUAAUUAGAUGGCUCUUGGUUUGUAUCUAUAUCUUCA
rnacentral:lncRNA from 1 species